UACGAAGGUGGCAAGCGUUGUUCGGAUUUACUGGGCGUAAAGGGAGCGUAGGUGGUUAGGUAAGCCCUCCGGGAAAUCUUCAGGCUUAACCUGAAAAGGUCGGGGGGGACUGCCUAGCUAGAGGGCGGGAGAGGAGCGCGGAAUUCCCGGUGUAGCGGUGAAAUGCGUAGAGAUCGGGAGGAAGGCCGGUGGCGAAGGCGGCGCUCUGGAACGUUUCUGACACCGAGGCUCGAAAGCGUGGGGAGCAAACAGG
rnacentral:rRNA from 1 species